GACAGAGGCCCCAAGCGUUAGGCGGAAUCACUGGGCUUAAAGCGUGUGUAGGCGGACUUCUAAGUGCCUUGUGAAAUCCCCGGGCUCAACCUGGGAACUGCAUUUGUGACUGCAUAGCUAGAGUACGGUAGAGGGGGAUGGAAUUCCGCGUGUAGCAGUGAAAUGCGUAGAUAUGCGGAGGAACACCGAUGGCGAAGGCAAUCCCCUGGACCUGUACUGACGCUCAUGCACGAAAGCGUGGGGAGCAAACAGG
rnacentral:rRNA from 1 species